rnacentral:lncRNA from 1 species
GUAAAAUGUAAAUUUAUUUCUGUAUGUUGAUGACAAGCAGAUGCUUUUAUUAAGAAAAAUGCAUUAACACUUAACACACAAUUUAGGAUGUGAUUUGAUUAAAUUAGGGAGUAUUUUAUGCCGGCACAUUGCAGGUGAUUUAUCAAGCCAAAACAUAUGCUAUUAUAUUGAGAAAGAAUGUAUAUUAGUUUCCAUGGUGAGUGGACGUUUGGUACUUUGCUCUAGAAUAGCACCUGUUUUAGUCUUGAUAAAUUUCCCUCAUUAUAUUACUACCUUAUUUUCUUGAACAGGUUUUAAUAUAUACAUUUUUGUAUACAUUAUAUAUAUUUAGAUACUAAUAUAAACACAUCACAUUAACAUAUAAAAAUAGAUUGUACCACACCCAGCUGUUACAUGUAAAUUGCAAACCCAAAUACUCAGUAAAGUCUUACAAUAAAUAAAAUAGUAUGUUAAAACAAAUUCUUUUUUUAAGUAAAACUGCAUGUGAUGCACUCUACCACUUUAAGACGAGCAGCAUUAUAACGCAAGGACAUACUGAGAGCUACAAGGAGUGAAAUAAAAUACAAAUAAGCUAAUGCAUUUUAUAUCAAAGUUGUUUUCUAAAACCGUAAUGUUUCAAAUAAUGGUAAGAGACUAGAAAAUGCACAGGUGAAAAUAAACUAACAGCAGAUCUCUGAACGUUACAGAACAAGCAGCACAAAUAACAAAAGACAUUUUCUAUAACACUAAUUUAUAUACAAAUUGAGGUUGAUGCUUUAUUGUCAUUUUAAUCUGGCUGCAUAUAAAAUAAUGAAAAUAUAGGCAAAUACAUUUUAGAAACAAAAUACAUUCUUCUUUACUCUUUUGUCACACAACAUAUUAUAAAAAUAUUUCACAGUCAGAAUUACUCAUUUAGCACAGUAGCAAACUAGGUAUUUGUACAAUCUGCAAGACACAAACUUUUCAUAACCCUAUAUGUGUUCUACAGAUAGACAGACGGACGGACAGACAGACAGAUAGAUAGAUAGAUAGAGAUAUAGAUAGAUGGAUAGAUGGAUAGAUAGAUAGAUGGAUAUAUAGAUGGAUGGAUAGAUAGAUAGAUGGAUAUAUAGAUGGAUGGAUAGAUAGAUAGAUAGAUAGAUAGAUAGAGAGAGAGAUAGAGAGAUAGACAGAUUGAUAUAUAGAUAGAUGGAUAGAUAGAUAGAUAGAUAGAUAGAUAGAUCGAGAUAGAGAUAGAUCGAUAUAUAGAUAGAUGGAUGGAUAGAUAGAUAGAUAGAGAAAUAGAUGGAUAUAUAGAUGGAUGGCUAGAUAGAUAGACAGACAGACAGAUAGAUAGAUAGAUAGAUAGAUAGAUAGAUAGAUGGUUCUUCUGUAUAAAUUAGUAGUUAUUUUAAAUGAGUUAUUUAACAUUUUUAGUGGAGAUAGUUCUUUCUCUACUUACGCCACUGCAAUAUUAAUGAAAGGUAAAUAUUGUACCCUUAUGCAAUAAGUGCAAAUAUCUGUAAGGUACUAUUUCUCCUAGAUUUUCUGGGAGUGCAUUGCGGUUCAUAAAUUCCAUGCUGGGAUCAAAAGUGAUAUAUAUGAAAUUUGUAUCAGGUUGUACCUGAACAGUCUUGCAAAUGAUGAAAAUACUAAUUUAAAAAAAAAAAAGAAACAAAAAACCCCCCAAACAAACAAGAAACUAAAGCAAAGAUGCAAAACAAAAUGGAGAGGGCUUUUAAAAUAACAAAUGGCAAAUAUUAGCCGGUUGCCUUUCUGUGACAGCUGCUCUUUAAUUAAACAAUUUUAAACAAAUAAAUACUUGAAAUUUCUGACAUUGAACCCCUUUCUACUUAUUACCGCUAAGCACAAACUCUACCAUCUUUAACUUAUUUUGCCUGCCUAUUGGUUUUUGAUCUUUUUUUAUCAAUUUACAAACAUGUAAAAGAAAUUGAAUUCACCAGGGAACAGCAAAUAGAUAAAAAUGUUUAACUUGAAGUCAGCUGCUAUUCUAACACAGCUAUUUUCACCAUAAAAUAUUUAUGUUUUUUGUUUUAUUUUAUCAAUUCAAUAUUUAAUGAAUACUCCUGUAAGUUAAAUAUAUAUUUUUUGGUAUUUCCCUACUGAAAUUUCAUAUUUGUAUUUAUAUUCAUUAAAAUUCUACUCAAAGUUGCAUUUUAAUAUUAACACUCUGGGGUUCUAGAUCACACACACACUAUGCACUGGCAAUUAUUUAUCAAUUAAAUUUUCCAUUUUUAGAGUGUAGAUUUCAUAAUUUUCUCAAAAGGAACACAAGUGAAAAAAACAGAAGGGUAACUCACUAAAGUGAGAAUUCAAGCUGAACUGGGACAAAAACAUUUCAAUUAGCUCUGCUAUACUCUGCACUUAAAAUUGAAAUUUACUUAGAAUUUUCAAUGAAUUCUCACUUAUAUAAAUAACCUUGCAGGUUCCUGGCCAACACGACAUGAUGGCUUCUGGUUAUAAAUCAUCUAGUUUUGGUGAUAUGUAGAGAUGAUCAAAUUACCAAUCUACAGUGUAGACAGUUCAUUUUUAAAGUGUUACUAACUGUCAUGGAAAAGACAAUUUUAUAAAAAAAAUAAAAGUACAUAUAAUUUCAUCUAUACCUUGUGCUAGCAUAACUAUGCUAAUGUUUUUGGCCGAAAUUAUUGUUUUUGGGAUAUUAUUUUGUUUUAUGUAUACCUGAAGUUCAGUUGAAUGUUUGUUCAUUUUUGCUGAAUUCCAAUUUGGAAACUGAAUCAGGAGAACAUAACAAAAAGGCAUGUAAAUAGGCCAAGCAGUGUGCUGCGAGAUAUUUUUUUUUUUAUAUUUUUUUUAUUUUUUUAAUACUUUUUUCACAAAUAAUGCAAAUAGGAUAUAGACAGUGAAUGUUUAGAAUAUGCUCAGUAACAUUAAUCCAAAUUCUUAGUGAGAUUCAUCAAAUCAGGAUAUACAAAAAAAACUUACAUUACAAAACAUAAACUCUGAUGUCUGGUGGGGGGAAGUAACCUAAGGGUGAUUUAUUUCUGCUUCUUUUUUUGAUUGUCACAGGGCCAAUAUUUAUAGCACGUUUUUACUUUUUGGUAUUUGGUUAAUCAAAUAGGGUAAGUCACUAAUCCCACAUAUCAUAUUUCUUGCGCGAAUUCAAGUAAGGUAGGCUCAAAUCCUUUUCCAUCCUGAUUUGUUCAAGAAUUUGAGUCUUAACCAUGACUCACGUUAUUUCAGUAUUACUCUUCCAAUUACAGGCUAUAAUAGUUUUAAAAGCAACUAGACAGUGGGUAAUUAAAGAUAUAAACGUAAUAUAAUAUGUAUAUAUUUUGCAGUACACUGAUAGGAGCAUGUUCUGCCAUUUAGUUCAGAGGUCAAGUAAGACAAAGUAACCAAUAGAAGGAAAAAGAGGAGGAGGAUUUAAAAAAAUCAAUAUUUUUAUAUUUAAAAAUUAUAUAUUGAUUAAAUAUGAUAGAUAGAUUUGUUACUAUUCCUCUUGUUUUUCCCUCAGUUACUCACUUCUCACUUGACCUGUAAAUAGAAUCAACAUUUGGCGACUGUCCCCUAGCCUUCAAUCAUCUUUUUUUUGUCAUCAUCAAUCAUCUUUUUUUUGGCUCAACAGGCAGAAUUCAGAAUAUUAACUCCACUGUUUGGUUAGUCCAACAUCCUAAAACUAGCUAUGAUUUGUGAUUGCUGUGGGAAUAUAACAACAGAAUGACAGACAAAGUAACAAUGACAAUAAAAGAGCUUAAGGUUAACAUUUACCUGGGGACCAGAUUGAGAUGAAUCUUCAAAAUGAUCAUUUAUGAUCGUGAUAGCUCACCCCAUUUAAAAUGGUACACCACAACCAAAUGACAUAAUCAAAUAACAUAAUCAAAGUCCAUGAUGCAGUUUUAAAUGUGUAGAUGCUUAUAUUUAACAGUAGCCACUAGACUGCUGUCCCAGCUAAACCCAAAUAUUGGUUUGUUAGCUUUGUUUUCAAGCUACCACAAUAUAGAGUUCAGAAAUUAAUUAAAUUAAAAGACAGCUAUGAUUCAGUUACUUUUAUAAAAUAAAAUGACUUCUCU